rnacentral:lncRNA from 1 species
UUUUCAUUAAUUUGAAAGUUAUAUUUAAAUUUCCUGGAGACUGCUUUAUGAAAAAUGGUCUUGAAGACAAUUAGACCAACGUGAUAAUUCUAAACCAAACAGGAAGAUCUUGAUCAUCGGUAAUUGUGGAAAUUUUGACUGAAAAAUAAAAAGUUACGAGUCAUCAUACCCCUGGGUAGGGGUGGGCAAAAUCGGGUUCGGAUCGGGUUCGGAUCAACCCGAUCGGAUUUCGGGUUGAUCGGGUUGGAGAGAAACUCAUCCGAAUUCAACCCGAAUUUUAGAUCGGAUCGGAUCUGAUCGGGUUAUAUUCGGGUCGGGUCGGAUCGGAUCUAAAAUUCGGAUCAAUUUCGGGUCAAUUCGGGUUAAGGAUAAAAGAGUCAUUUGUGUUAAUUUUGGGUUGUUUAAUAAUUAUUUAAUAAUUACAAGAUCACUUUUAUGUAAUUAGUUCAUUUUAGUCCAUUUCCACUUUCCAGUGACUGUCAUAAAAAAAAUAUAAACUGAAAUAGAAUUGAAAAAGUUGUGAGCUUGGAGGACUUGGUGUCAUGAAUCUCAGUCUCGGUCUCGUUGGAAGAACAACCAUGGAUCGCUUCGCGCGGGUCAAGCGGCAGCCGAUGGAUCAAGCGGCAACAGGUUUCGUCGAUGGCUCAUGGCUUCACGGGUUUUGUCGAUGGCUACCGGAAAAGCAGAUCCGAUCGAAGUGAAGUGCAGCAACCGUUGAUGCAGCAGCAAGCAGAUCCUGUCGUCAGUGCAGCAGAUCUGGUCGAGUGGUGUGCUGCAUGUGGCCCGCUGCUGUGCUAACCAUCUGUAGUUUUGUUGUUGCGAGAAAGAAGAGAACGAAGACAGUGAAGAGAAAAAAGAGGGUUGUUUGUGUGAGUUGUGAGAAAGAAGAGAAAGAACACGGAGAGUGAGAAAGAAGAGAAAGAAGAGAGUGAAGAGAAAGAUUUAGGUUUUUUUUAGGUUGUUUGUGUGUGGCGUGUGUGUUUAGAUUUAGGUUUUUUUUUUUUAAAGUAACCCGAUCGGGUUUUCGGAUCGGAUCGAAUUUGACCCGAUCCGAUCACAACCCGAUCGGGUUUCACCAUCUUCAUCCGAUCGGGUUUCCUUUAUAACCCGAUCCGAUCCGAACCCGAAAUUUUUCGGGUCGGGUCGGAUCGGAUUGGGUCGGGUCGGGUCGGGUAUUUUGCCCACCCCUACCCCUGGGGAUGUGGAAAGAAUUGAAAAGUCCCACAACAUCUCCACUUUUGGAAGAACUAUUUUUAAUGGUCUUGAUUUUGACCAAUAUUCUUAGCAGAUGAUCUUGACCCACGUGCACGGUGCAGCACAUAGCUUCAUUAAUUCAUUAAUUCAUUAAUUCAUUAAUACUCCUAGAGCAUUUCUUAGUUCGUGUUACAACAAAAUGGCUAUUGCAUGUCAUGCGCCCUUCCACACUAAAUUUUGGCGUUUUUAACCUUUUGGGGUUAAUUAAUUUAUGUUUGCUCCGGUGUGAAUAUUUUUAUUUUAAACUAAUCAAGAAAGAGUUA